rnacentral:rRNA from 1 species
GAUGAACGCUGACAGCAUGCUUAACACAUGCAAGUCUACUUGAACUUCGGUUUGGGUGGCGGACGGGUGAGUAACGCGUAAAGAACUUGCCUCACAGUUAGGGACAACAUUUGGAAACGAAUGCUAAUACCUGAUAUUAUGAUUUUAGGGCAUCCUAAGAUUAUGAAAGCUAUAUGCACUGUGAGAGAGCUUUGCGUCCCAUUAGCUAGUUGGAGAGGUAACGGCUCACCAAGGCGAUGAUGGGUAGCCGGCCUGAGAGGGUGAACGGCCACAAGGGGACUGAGACACGGCCCUUACUCCUACGGGAGGCAGCAGUGGGGAAUAUUGGACAAUGGACCAAAAGUCUGAUCCAGCAAUUCUGUGUGCACGAUGACGUUUUUCGGAAUGUAAAGUGCUUUCAGUUGGGAAGAAAAAAAUGACGGUACCAACAGAAGAAGUGACGGCUAAAUACGUG